GGUUAGAACCCCGUGUAUUACACGGGUUGAAUAAAUAUAAUUUUAUAUAUUAAGUAAUAAAAUAGUAACAUCUUUUAAAAACUCGUGUAUCAAGAUUUGAAUAAACACAUGUCUUACACGAAUAAUGUAAUCCAUUAACACAUUUAAUCAUCAAGAUGUGUUUUCUAACAAAAUGAACUUUGAGAUACUAUUUACUUAUUGUAACAUCUCACUUUAUUUUUUAUUAGGUUAG
rnacentral:lncRNA from 1 species